UUGUCACCAUCCCCAUUUUUGCGUAUGAGAAAACUGAGAGCACAGAAAGCUUGAGUAACUGCCCCAAAGUCACACUACAGAACCAGAAUCUCAGCCAGGUUCCAGAGGCCUAGCUUUUACUGACCACGAUUAGAUGCCUGAGUGAGCAAGAAAUGCUAAAUUAUCAGGCAACCUGUAAAUAUUUUAAGGGACCGGAACAAAUCUGUCCAAGGAAAACUGCUAAAAUGCAAAAUUUGCUCAGAUGAGGAAAUUCACCAAAUCGCUGGUCCCCCUAGGUUCAUGCAGGUUACAGGUGGCACCCCCGAUCAGCGACAGAAUCAGGUACUCUACAAAGUGGCGCCCAAACAGGGACUUCAAGGACAUGAAGAAGAAGGUCUGCUGGAGCAGAGGAACUGAAAUUGACAAGGUGAACGGGGAUCCCAGGUCUGUAAAAUCGGACGGACUGCCAAUCAGAGAAUGAGAGAUGCCCAGCCUGGCCUUACAUUCUUUCAAUUAAUACAUAAACACAAAGGGAGAGAUGUUGGGAGCCAAAAAGGCCAAAGGGAUCAUGAUCAACUCAGCAUUCCACUGGAGGCUAUAUGAUCAAAUAGCAAACUGUUUAUCACUAUCACGAAUGCAGGAUGUGAGCAAACUCACACUGCGCCUGCCACCAAAAGGUUGGCUGAGGGCCUCACUCCCUGGCACGGGGCUCCUUGAAGUUAUCUACUGAGAAAUCUAGUGUCUAUUGUUCAAACGAUGCAGUCUGGCAAGCCUGCUGUGAACCAACCAGCCGACUGACAAUUACCCCACAAUCACCCCCCAUUUAUCCCUAUCUGUUUUGCCUAAUAAAUAUGGAGGGCUGUGUAAAGCUCAGGGCCCUUGUCCACUAGAGGCAAGGUGCCCCCUGACCCCUUCUUCCAAACAUACUCUUGUCUCUUGUCUUUUAUUCUCACGUUCACCACCCUUUGUUGUUACCCUAAGUCCAUGCAGGUUGCAAGUGGCACCCCUGAUCAACGACAGAAUCGGGUGCUCUACAGUCAGGGAGGGCCAUGUUAAACCCUUUUGUAAGCCUUGGGUUUUGAGUGAGAUGGGGAGCCACUUAGGUGUUGUGAGCAAAUAAAUGACAGAAUUAGACCUUGUAACAACAAGAAAACCCUAUGUGGCAGCUGAAUUAAGUGGACAGAAGUGAGGCAAAGUGGAGGCAGGAGACCAGUUAGGCUAUUCAAAUAAUGGAGGUGAGAGAUAACAGCAGUUUGGCCCAGGGUGGGGACCAUGGAGGCGGUAAAAUUUAAUGGUUAAAUUCUCAUAGAUUUUGAAAGCACAGCUGACAAGGCUUGGUGAUAGACAUGCUAUAGCACAAGAAAGGAGAAGUCAAGGAUGACCCCAGAAUUGUGGCCCCAGGAACUGCAAUAGAAUUACCAGAGAAGGUCAUGGAUGGAGUUGGGGGUGGGAGAAGAGUUGGGAGCUCAGCAUUGAAGUGGUGCUUGUCAGAAAUCAGAGCAGAAAUGAUGAGGAGCCUAAGGGUCAAGGAGAGGUGUGGACCAAUGAUAAAAAUGUGGGCAUCACUAGCAUGGGCUCAACCACCAAGAGUUGAGCACUGUGUGGGCAGGGCCUCGUGCCUGUAAGAAAGAUUCAAUACACGGUACAGAUUU
rnacentral:lncRNA from 1 species